CUAGCGUUGUUCGGAAUUACUGGGCGUAAAGCGCACGUAGGCGGCUUUGUAAGUUCGAGGUGAAAGCCUGGAGCUCAACUCCAGAAUUGCCUUUAAGACUGCAUCGCUUGAAUCCAGGAGAGGUGAGUGGAAUUCCGAGUGUAGAGGUGAAAUUCGUAGAUAUUCGGAAGAACACCAGUGGCGAAGGCGGCUCACUGGACUGGUAUUGACGCUGAGGUGCGAAAGCGUGGGGAGCAAACAGG
rnacentral:rRNA from 1 species